ensembl:snRNA U5 U5 spliceosomal RNA
GAACUCUGGUUUCUCUUCAGAUCGUAUAAAUCUUUCGCCUUUUACUAAAGAUUUCCGUGGAGAGGAACAAUUAUGAGUAUAAACUAAUUUUUUGAUGCCCCGCCGUAAGGUGGGGCU